UAAUACGUAGGUGGCAAGCGUUGUCCGGAAUUAUUGGGCGUAAAGCGCGCGCAGGCGGUCCUUUAAGUCUGAUGUGAAAGCCCACGGCUCAACCGUGGAGGGUCAUUGGAAACUGGGGGACUUGAGUGCAGGAGAGAAAAGUGGAAUUCCACGUGUAGCGGUGAAAUGCGUAUAGAUGUGGAGGAACACCAGUGGCGAAGGCGACUUUUUGGCCUGUAACUGACGCUGAGGCGCGAAAGCGUGGGGAGCAAACAGGAUUAGAUACCCUGGUAGUCCACGCCGUAAACGAUGAGUGCUAAGUGUUAGAGGGUUUCCGCCCUUUAGUGCUGAAGUAAACGCAUUAAACACUCCGCCUGGGGAGUACGCCGCAAGGCUGAAACUCAAAGGAAUUGACGGGGACCCCACAAGCGGUGGACAUGUGGUUUAAUUCCAAAGCNACGCCGAAAGAACUUACCAGGUCUUGACAUCCUCUGACAAUCCUAGAGAUAGGACUUCCCUUCCGGGG
rnacentral:rRNA from 1 species